rnacentral:rRNA from 1 species
UACAGAGGGUGCGAGCGUUGUUCGGAAUUAUUGGGCGUAAAGCGCUUGUAGGCGGCACGUCAAGUCGCGUGUGAAAUCCCCCAGGCUUAACCUGGGAACUGCGCUUCUAACUGGCAGGCUUGAGUGUGGCAGAGGGGGGGUGGAAUUCCACGUGUAGCAGUGAAAUGCGUAGAUAUCAGGAGGAACAUCGAUGGCGAAGGCAGCCCCUUGGACCUGUACUGACGCUCAUGCACGAAAGCGUGGGGAGCAAACAGG